rnacentral:rRNA from 1 species
UACGAAGGGGGCUAGCGUUGCUCGGAAUCGCUGGGCGUAAAGCGCACGUAGGCGGAUUGUUAAGUCAGGGGUGAAAUCCUGGAGCUCAACUCCAGAACUGCCUUUGAUACUGGCGAUCUUGAGUCCGGGAGAGGUGAGUGGAACUCCGAGUGUAGAGGUGAAAUUCGUAGAUAUUAGGAAGAACACCAGUGGCGAAGGCGGCUCACUGGUCCGGUACUGACGCUGAGGUGCGAAAGCGUGGGGAGCAAACAGG